CCCCGCCGGCAACGAAGAGCUGGGGCCGAAUGCCUGGGGCAUGUUCCUGCGCCGCGCGCAGCAGCAGUUCCUGGGCAUGGACGUCUCGCCCCUCAGCGCCUGGCGCA
rnacentral:SRP_RNA from 15 species